rnacentral:rRNA from 1 species
GUAGGGUGCAGGCGUUAAUCGGAAUUACUGGGCGUAAAGCGUGCGCAGGCGGUUUGUUAAGACAGGUGUGAAAUCCCCGGGCUUAACCUGGGAACUGCGCUUGUUACUGGCAGACUCGAGUGUGGCAGAGGGGGGUGGAAUUCCAGGUGUAGCAGUGAAAUGCGUAGAGAUCUGGAGGAACACCGAUGGCGAAGGCAGCCCCCUGGGCUAACACUGACGCUCAUGCACGAAAGCGUGGGGAGCAAACAGGAUUAGAUACCCUGGUAGUCCACGCCCUAAACUAUGUCAACUGGUUGUCGGGGAAGCAAUUCCUUGGUAACGAAGCUAACGCGUGAAGUUGACCGCCUGGGGAGUACGGCCGCAAGGUUA